UGCUUGAAUGUCUCCAAAAUGGUUUCUUAAAGAAUGUUGGUCUAUUGAUGUUAUGUUGUAAAGGAAAUGUCCUUAUCUAAGGUAAUCUUGGGGAACACUUAAGUGUGCUUGAAGAGGUUGUAUGGGCGGUCACUUCUUGUCUCACUCAAGUGUGUCUUAAGGUUAUAUUAGGUAGAGGUCCUAUGGUAAUGAAAUGACAUGUGUUCUUUUAAAGUUAAGCAUGGGUUGUAUAUGGAUAUAUGUUGAGUAUGUGUAUGGUUGGCUAUGGUCUUAUAUGUUAAUGUUGACUUGUAUUAUGUCUCUUAUA
rnacentral:lncRNA from 1 species